CAGUCGCCGCGGUAAUACGAAGGGUGCAAGCGUUACUCGGAAUUACUGGGCGUAAAGCGUGCGUAGGUGGUGGUUUAAGUCCGUUGUGAAAGCCCUGGGCUCAACCUGGGAAUUGCAGUGGAUACUGGGUCACUAGAGUGUGGUAGAGGAUAGUGGAAUUUCCGGUGUAGCAGUGAAAUGCGUAGAGAUCGGAAGGAACAUCUGUGGCGAAGGCGACUAUCUGGGCCAACACUGACACUGAGGCACGAAAGCGUGGGGAGCAAACAGGAUUAGAUACCCCGGUAGUCCUUGUCUCUUAUAC
rnacentral:rRNA from 1 species